rnacentral:rRNA from 1 species
AGUGAACGCUGGCGGCAGGCCUAACACAUGCAAGUCGAACGGAUCCUUCGGGAUUAGUGGCGGACGGGUGGGUAACACGUGGGAACGUGCCCUUUGGUUCGGAACAACUCAGGGAAACUUGAGCUAAUACCGGAUGUGCCCUUCGGGGGAAAGAUUUAUCGCCAUUGGAGCGGCCCGCGUCUGAUUAGCUAGUUGGUGAGGUAAAGGCUCACCAAGGCGACGAUCAGUAGCUGGUCUGAGAGGAUGAUCAGCCACAUUGGGACUGAGACACGGCCCAAACUCCUACGGGAGGCAGCAGUGGGGAAUUUUGCGCAAUGGGCGAAAGCCUGACGCAGCCAUGCCGCGUGAAUGAUGAAGGUCUUAGGAUUGUAAAAUUCUUUCACCGGGGACGAUAAUGACGGUACCCGGAGAAGAAGCCCCGGCUAACUUCGUGCCAGCCGCCGCAGUAA